rnacentral:rRNA from 1 species
GAUGAACGCUGGCGGCGUGCUUAACACAUGCAAGUCGAACGGUGAAGGCGGAGCUUGCUCUGCUGGAUCAGUGGCGAACGGGUGAGUAACACGUGAGCAAUCUGCCCCUGACUCUGGGAUAAGCGCUGGAAACGGCGUCUAAUACUGGAUACGAGCUGCGAAGGCAUCUUCAGCAGCUGGAAAGAACUUCGGUCAGGGAUGAGCUCGCGGCCUAUCAGCUUGUUGGUGAGGUAACGGCUCACCAAGGCGUCGACGGGUAGCCGGCCUGAGAGGGUGACCGGCCACACUGGGACUGAGACACGGCCCAGACUCCUACGGGAGGCAGCAGUGGGGAAUAUUGCACAAUGGGAGAAAGCAUGAUGCAGCAACGCAGCGUGAGGGACGACGGCAUUCGGGUUGUAAACCUCUUUUAGCAGGGAAGAAGCGAAAGUGACGGUACCUGCAGAAAAAGCGCCGGCUAACUACGUG